AGCCACCACACUGUCAAUGUCCAAAGUUACAAAACUUUCAAUAUUACUUCUAAACACUCUUCAUACAUACAGGCUCUAUGUACAAAGGUUAACAGUGAAUGAGCAGUUUCACCGAAUAAGUAUCCGUUGAGCAUAAAUCAACCCCAUCAAAUAAAACCAGCUCAUCCAUAUCGACAAUCAUAAUCAAAUAAGAUCUGCCAUAUGCUUAAAUAUUUACCACCGGCAUAUCCCAGGAGCCUCCAUUCUGCUUAAAGCAAGUACUUCCUCAUACUUUGAACCAUAUACAAAGCCCCAAAGCUCAACUUGUUGUUUGACUUCAAAGUCUUCAGAGUUUGCAAGACACGGAUUCCCAUAAGUCUCUGAGACUGAGCUUGAUCCAUUUAAUAGAUCUUCAUCCAAAUAGAGUGCAAAGUGGCCACCCCCACCAAUUGCCAGAAAAUCAGUAGAGCACAAAGUGAAAUAGCGAUUUGCACCUGUGGAACGGUAUACCACAGGAUGGCCAGGUUUAUUUGUAAAAACAAAAGUGUUGUUUGUUCCCUGAUAUUUUCUCUUGUUGGUUGGUCUUAGGGGUGCCUCAACCAAGCCACCAAAAACUGCACCUUUUCUGUCUCCGACAACCAGCAGACUUAGUCCAGGCCAAAGCAUGCUUCUUCUAUAUAAGGUUGAUAGUGAUAUCCCAUGCCUCCACGUACUGUAAAGCAAUAACCACUUCCUCCCUUGAACAAGUGCUGGAAGUGAAGCAUAAAGAGCACUUCUUGCUUUCUCUGAAAGCAGCAAUGAAGGCUCAGAAGCACCUGGAAGAUCUCCCAACUCAACAGGCUCUAUCACAUUCUGCAUACGUUUCAUUUCCAGUCCAUCAAAAUUAUCAUCACCCUCAUCAGCUAAUUUCAUAUCAGAUUCACCCUUGCGCUCUUGGCUCCGAUAUCCACCAAUUCUAGCAGCUUGGUAAAUAGCUCUAAGAGAUUGUUUACCCCUAGAAAGUAAGCCCUUCCUUAUGCCACUCUCCUUCCUUACAUUUUCAGAUAGCUGGUCAACCAUUUCUGCUGUAUUAUCAUUUUUCUCAUCUGCAUUUGAAUUGUCUCCAGUAUCCGAAGAUGACAAUAAAGAAUAGAG
rnacentral:misc_RNA from 1 species